rnacentral:rRNA from 1 species
AUUGAACGCUGGCGGCAGGCCUAACACAUGCAAGUCGAGCGGGGUUUUCGGACCUAGCGGCGGACGGGUGAGUAAUGCGUAGGAAGCUACCCGAUAGAGGGGGAUACCAGUUGGAAACGACUGUUAAUACCGCAUAAUGUCUACGGACCAAAGUGUGGGACCUUCGGGCCACAUGCUAUCGGAUGCGCCUACGUGGGAUUAGCUAGUUGGUGAGGUAAUGGCUCACCAAGGCGACGAUCCCUAGCUGGUUUGAGAGGAUGAUCAGCCACACUGGGACUGAGACGCGGUCCAGGCGCCUACGGGAGGCAGCAGUGGGGGAUAUUGGACAAUGGGCGCAAGCCUGAUCCAGCCAUGCCGCGUGUGUGAAGAAGGCCUUCGGGUUGUAAAGCACUUUCAGUAGGGAGGAAGCGUUGUGUGUUAAUAGUACACAGCGUUGACGUUACCUACAGAAGAAGCACCGGCUAACUCUGUGCCAGCAGCCGCGGUAAAAC